rnacentral:lncRNA from 1 species
AGACGCAGCAGUGCCAGGGACAAGGAGGAGUCGACCUGGGGGUAGCACAGCCCACCGGGGCACAGCUGGAGCAGCACCCAGGUGCUUCUGACUCCGGCAUGGAGGAAGCGCCCGCUUUCUCGGCCCAGGCCCGCAGCCAGGGCUGCUCCGCCCGCUGCGCCCCAGGGCAAAAGCCCCGCAAGGCAGUGUGAGCUGGAGCCGCCAGCCUGAGGACCUCUUUUAAGAUGACCCGUACGGACGCUCCGGACCUGCUGGUGUCGACCGUGUACCAGGACAUCAAGGUGGCGACCCCGGGACCCGCUUCCAAGCGCUCGCCAUGUGAGCGAUCCGUGGCCCGGCCUGCUGAGCCCGCGCCUUUCAACAAGCGCCACUGCCCCAGCUUCGACUUCCUGGAGGCGCUGGACCGGCCGACCACGGAGACCCUGCCGGAGCCACCGCCCCCGGAGCCCGCUGUGCCGCGCGCCCGGACCCGCGAGGCCGAGCCACGCCGCCGCGCCCGCUCCAAGAGCGCGCCCCCGGGCCUGACGCCCGCGCCCGCCUUGCCGCCCGUGUUGCCCCGC